rnacentral:lncRNA from 1 species
CCAACACCAGAACAGAACCGCUUUCCCAAGCGUGAAAGAGAAAAAGAGAAUAAUGAAGGCUGAGGCUCUCCAUUUUAUGGUGGCAGCAGAGGAAUCUCAUGCAUCCAUCCGCCUUUUUCUAUGAAGCUUUAAUUUAAUAAGUUCUUAUGAAAAUUUUUCUUUUUAGAAAAAGUUAAACAAAAACCCAGCUUAAGAGAUGACUAUCCUGAAAUUUGCAAGACUUCUGAUUUUUUAUUUUUUUUGGUGUUAUACUGAAGAUUUUAUUUAUAAGCAGAUCUAAGCCCUUUUUGAAUGGUUGAAAAAAUUGGAGCAACUUUCUGUUGGGUGGGUAUUUUUGUUGGGGAAGAAUGAAAGUGGUUCGAAGAGUUAUUGAUGAGUAAUGGGUGAGAGUGGGUUUGAGAGUGAGGAUAAUGGCCAUUGAUGAAAUGGCGAAAUCGAGUGAGUUUAGUGAGACAAAGAGGGAGAAGGCUUGAGG